CUACAACUCACCAGGCAGUCUGCCUGCCUCCCCUAAUACCCAGUACAAACACACCAUAUAUUCUUGGCUUCAACCUGAAUGAAGCUGCUCUUUAUUCCAUCAUACAGAAACCUGAGGGAAAUAGCAAACAUCUUUGGAUACAGGAACCUAUCUUUUUGCUUCUGUUAUCCUUGGGGAUCAGUUUGGGGCCCCUUGCCAAAAGUGCUUUGGGCUUGUGUUUCGGGACACCAAUGCCAUUAAUUAAUUAUACUAGCCUGUAACUUUGGUACCUAGCAAUUUGCAUGUUCCUACGGAGUAAUUACACUGAGUGGAUCCAAGAGCAAUUAUCCUCUAACCUGCACAGUCAAGAAAUAAUCAUGUAUUUGCUUCAGCAUGGUAUGGUCCUCACUGUGUUUCUGCUACAUUGGCGUGUGACAAUUAUGACUACAAUGUAAAUAUGAAAUUGAGAAAGUGCCUAAUAUUUGUCUCUUAAUCAGAAAUAGAAUGCUUCUCAGGUUCCAAGGGGCAAUAGAUAUUAUAAGUUGAAAGAGUGAAUAUGAAUGAAACAACAUCAUAUCCUUCUCAGCCCAGUAGUCAUACCUUUAUUAACUGGAAUUCUUCAUUACCUGGAAGUUAGGCGUUAGACUGCACUUUGUGAAAAAGAAGCUAAUCAUGAGAAAACAAAGUGAUAGAAAGAAUUAAGAAGGGGAAGCAUAAUUAAUGUAAAUUCCUGGAUCAAAGUGUCUUAGACCAGCUACAUCCUAGUACCAAAUGUGCUGGUGAUAACUAAGAGACAAGUCAAACUACAAACUACAAUCAAUCCCAAACUCAGAACUAAUAUAAUGGGUUACUUGAUAACAAUUUGAUACAUGGAGAAGAAAACCAACAAGAGAAAAAUCAGAUCCAGCAUGCUAAAGACCAACCCACACUGGGGAAGGGAAAGGAAGAUCCAAGAUUCUCAAAAAGGAACAGAAGAACUGAGAGGAUACAAAGCAGUUACUUCACUUCUCCUUGGGAGCCCUCCUGAAGUAGAUGAUCUGAGAGGAAGCCUCUGAGAUGGAGAGCCUCUCUGGACAUUGAUCAUCUUCCAGUGAACCCCAAAUUCAUCUGGUUCUAGCUGAAGACAAUAAAAGUAGAUUGGGACUUUGUAGAAAGUCA
rnacentral:lncRNA from 1 species